GUAGGAGGCGAGCGUUAUCCGGAUUCACUGGGCGUAAAGCGCGUGCAGGCGGUUUGGUAAGUUGGUCGUGAAAGCUCCCGGCUCAACUGGGAGAGGUCGUCCAAUACUACCGGACUAGAGAGCAGAAGAGGAAGAUGGAAUUCCCGGUGUAGUGGUGAAAUGCGUAGAUAUCGGGAGGAACACCAGUGGCGAAGGCGAUCUUCUGGUCUGUUUCUGACGCUCAGACGCGACAGCUAGGGUAGUAAACGGGAUUAGAGACCCCGGUAAUCCUAGCCGUAAACGAUGUGAACUUGGCGUUGGUGGCCUAAACACCAUCAGUGCCGAAGCAAACGCGAUAAGUUCACCGCCUGGGGACUACGGCCGCAAGGUUAAA
rnacentral:rRNA from 1 species